rnacentral:rRNA from 1 species
CAGUUCGGAUUGUAGUCUGCAACCCGACUACAUGAAGCUGGAAUCGCUAGUAAUCGCGGAUCAGAAUGCCGCGGUGAAUACGUUCCCGGGUCUUGUACACACCGCCCGUCACACCAUGGGAGUCGGAAAUGCCCGAAGUCUGUGACCCAACCUACGGGAGGGAGCAGCCGAAGGCAGGUCGGAUGACUGGGGUGAAGUCGUAACAAGGUAGC